GAGUAUUUUCGAACCUGCCAUAGAACAUUACAUUAACAUUGAAAUUUGUAUAAAUGUCAAAAGUUAAUACCUAUAUAGUUUUACCAAUAAUUAUUUAUAUAUA